rnacentral:rRNA from 1 species
UACGUAGGGGGCAAGCGUUGUCCGGAUUCAUUGGGCGUAAAGAGCUCGUAGGCGGCUUGGCAAGUCGGGUGUGAAAACUCCAGGCUCAACCUGGAGACGCCACCCGAUACUGCCAUGGCUAGAGUCCGGUAGGGGACCACGGAAUUCCUGGUGUAGCGGUGAAAUGCGCAGAUAUCAGGAGGAACACCGGUGGCGAAGGCGGCAUCCUGGACUGGUCCUGACGCUCGAGGAGCGAAAGCGUGGGGAGCGAUCCGG